rnacentral:rRNA from 1 species
UUAUGGCUCAGGAUGAACGCUAGCGAGAGGCCUAACACAUGCAAGUCGAGGGGUAACAGGGGAGCUUGCUCCCGCUGACGGCCGGCGCACGGGUGAGUAACGCGUAUGCAACCUGCCCGCCACAGGGGGAUAGCCUUCCGAAAGGGAGAUUAAUACCGCAUAAGACCACGCCUGGGCAUCCAGGAGGGGUAAAAUAUUCAUAGGUGGCGGCUGGGCAUGCGUGACAUUAGCUAGUUGGCGGGGCAACGGCCCACCAAGGCGACGAUGUCUAGGGGAACUGAGAGGUCGAUCCCCCACACUGGUACUGAGACACGGACCAGACUCCUACGGGAGGCAGCAGUGAGGAAUAUUGGUCAAUGGAGGGAACUCUGAACCAGCCAUCUCGCGUUGAAGGACUACGGCCCUACGGGUCUUAAACUUCUUUUAUAGGGGGAUAAAGUCGCAUACGUGUAUGUGAUUGCAGGUACCCUAUGAAUAAGCAUCGGCUAACUCCGUGCCAGCCGCUGC